GUUGGUUUCACCCGAAGGCAGUGCGCUAACCGCAAGGAGGCAGCUGACCACGGUGUGGUCAAUGACUGGGGUGAAGUCGUAACAAGGUAGCCGUAGGUGAACCUGCAGAAGGAUCA
rnacentral:rRNA from 1 species